rnacentral:rRNA from 1 species
GACGAACGCUGGCGGCGUGCUUAACACAUGCAAGUCGAACGGAAAGGCCCUGCUUUUGUGGGGUGCUCGAGUGGCGAACGGGUGAGUAACACGUGAGUAACCUGCCCUUGACUUUGGGAUAACUUCAGGAAACUGGGGCUAAUACCGGAUAGGAGCUCCUGCUGCAUGGUGGGGGUUGGAAAGUUUCGGCGGUUGGGGAUGGACUCGCGGCUUAUCAGCUUGUUGGUGGGGUAGUGGCUUACCAAGGCUUUGACGGGUAGCCGGCCUGAGAGGGUGACCGGCGACAUUGGGACUGAGAGACGGCCCAGACGGGUACGGGAGGCAGCAGGGGGGGGUAUUGGAGAAGGGGCGCAAGUCUGAUGCAGGAACGCCGCGUGCGGGAUGACGGCGUUAGGGUUGGGAACCGCGUGCAGCAGGGACGAAGCGUGUUGGGACGGUACCUGAAGAAGAAGCACCGGCUAACUACGUG